rnacentral:rRNA from 1 species
UGGUGGAGUGAUUUGUCUGGUUAAUUCCGUUAACGAACGAGACCUCGAGAUUUAAAUAGUCGCCGCGAGCCUUCUGGCUAGCGUUGCGCACUUCUUAAAUCGACUAUCGGUGAGUAGCCGAUGGAAGUUCGAGGCAAUAACA